rnacentral:lncRNA from 1 species
AUGUACAAUUAUCACUCCUUUCUUCCAGUUUCUGCAAGAAGACCAAUCAAAAAGUCUAAUGCGGGAAGUCAAGCUAAUUUAUAUUUUCCUGCCAUGGACGUGGAUGUGAAUUCUGUUCAUGUGCCAGAAUCUGAUGUUCUUGCAAGCAAACAAAUCCAAUCAGUAGAGGACAUAAGCUCAGGUUACUGUAGUACUGACUCAGUGUUUCCUGCUGAGUCUGAGUUGCAAUCCAAUUCACCUCUAACUAGAACAGGCUCUUUAGGAUCAUCAAGGAUUCGAACUAGAGCGCUAUCUGGAGCUUCAAAAAGGACACCCUCACAGGUAAUCAUGUUCCCUCCUUCUCUCCACUUCUUUUAUUAUCUGAAGGAGCUCUUAAUCGUUUCCCCCAUAGUGAUUUUAAAUACUGAAAGAUGCGUAAAUUUCAUCAGAAGAAAUGAGUUUUUAAUGUUCAAAGAUGAACCACUAAUCAGGGCACGAAAUUAAACACCAUAGUGCAUCGUAGUAAGUAAACAAGUUAAGUCCUGUGCCGAUUAAGAUAAAACCAGCAAUCAGAAAAAUUAUGGUUGAUGCAAAUUUUUAGGGGUGACACUUGGUCAGUGGCUAGGGUCUUCAUUUUUUAGGGGCCAUAGCUCAAAUUUUGUUGGCAGGUUGCUGCAAGUCAAGGCAAUAAUUUUGACUGUUUACUUAGGUAGUAAUUCGAUCUCUGAUGAAUUGUUUGCACCAUUGAGAAACCAAGGGUAGCUGGAGCCUGCUGUAAAGAAACGCUGAACUUGCGAUGAGCUUGAGCUCAGAACAUAAUUUCUCCAGCCCAUAGUUGAAUUUAGAGGCUAGGUUUUGCAACCUACGGUCGACAGUUGCCUACAAAAUUAGGCCCAUGGCUAUGUUUUGAGGAGCAUUUGGCGUGGGUUUGGAACACUGAUCUCAUCAAUGUUUCAGUAUGUCCUGUAUUGCUGCAAGAAGAUCCCCUGAAAUCUCAAAUUUAGAAGUUAGCUGCUCAGCCAUUUGUGGUGAGACUAAAAGUAAACUUUAAUACAAUCUCCAGAAACACAUUUCAAAACAAGUUGAUCCAACGAGUUUAUUGAUGAUGAAAAGACGAAAACAUGUCUGUCACCGUUUUAGGUUGUUAAAUAGUUACUCUGGUCUUUAUGUCUGACUUUUUAAUUAUUUUAUGUAUUUUAUUCAAGAUACAUCAAUUUUACAGAUUCCAGAAUCUGUAAAGAUUUGGAGCCGACCUUAUUGCUUCAUGCUCAGAAGUAGCUGCAAUUAAGUUUUUACCAAAAUGUGACUACUUUCCUGUCCUUUUGAAAUUUAUCCUAAUUUAAGCUGCAACUUGCUCAAACAAUUUUUUUUUUCCCCUUGCUGUACAACUCCCCUCAAACUCAUAAUUUGCAAUGUCCCUCUUUCAUUUUGCUGUAUCAUUUUUCAAGCUUAAAAAGCCAUUUGUACCUUUUUACAAGAGACCUAUGAGAGAAUCUUUUAAUGGAUUCAUCUGCCAGGUUCUCUGGCGGUCUGGAAAACCUAGAAGGUCCUUUAAUUUACGGUGACCUGGAAAAGUCAAGGAAUUUUGCGAGUAGCAUGAUGGCUCAGCAGUGUAAUUAAAAGAAAGAAAAAAAUUCAAGUAGAUGUUCUGUUUGAUGGUCAAAGAAAGGCAGGGAAUUCGGAAAUUUUGGAGUCAAAGAAAAACAAAAGAAGCGAGAGAUAAGCCAGGAAAUUGGAAAAUUACAAAGAUAUGAAAACUCUGAUCUGAUAAUAACUCAAGUGUAUCUUGACUCAUCAGUUUGUCUUCGAGAAUUUCUGCUAAGUUGCAAAUAAACUUUCAAAUGGAAUAUCUUGAAAUUCUUGUACCAAAUGCCAUAGAACUAUGUGGAUGCUUGGUCAUAUUAACAUUAUUUAUUUAUGGAUUUUUCUUUAAAGAUGUUCAAGUCGAUUUACUUAUUUUCUGUGGUUUCUUGAUUUUAAGGACCAAGAGUUAUUUGGAGAAGGCUUGGACAGUGACCAUACCUCCCAUCCAUCCUUCCCAUUUAAUCCUUCGAAUUCCAGUGUCCCUUCUGCUCCACCUAAUUCCCUUUCCCUUGUCAAUU